GCCGUGCUGUGCCGGAACAAAGCGCCCUCUGGCGGCCGCGCCGCAGCUACCCACAGGCGGCCCUCUGAGGCGGGGCGUGGCCACAGGGCAGUGGGGGGCGCUGUGGUCCCUCGUGGUGCCCAACCGCCGUUCCCUCGGGCACGCGGCAGGGCCAGCUUCGCUCUUCCCGCCGUUUUUCCGCCUCGCGCUGCGCAGCAGCGUCUCCUGAAAAGAGCCGGGGGCAAAGGGCCUGUGAGUAAGCAGGCUGGCUCCGCGUCACUGCAUUCCGGUGUUGCUCACCGCAGGAAAGCUUUCUGAUGCGUAAUGUUCCUCGAGUAUUUGUACUGAAUCGGGAACUUUGCAACCCUUGAUCUCUACUGUGUCCGCAGGCAGCUAAUGACACAGCACAGUUACGAGCUUCAGAUGCUAAAACUGGAAGUCCACGCUGACUGCAGAGUAUAGCUGAGUACAAACUGCUUCUGUGCCCCUGAGGCUUGGGUGUUACUCCAGCCCUCUGUUUGAUGGGGUACAGCUUCUCAGGACGUACCUGAGAAAUAAAGCUGGUGGGAAAGAUGGACUGUUUUUGUAAUAAACAAAGGAGAAGAUGUUACAGUUUGGGUUCAAACUGUCUGGAUGUACACCGCUUAAAAUAUUCAUGCUUCUCUUAGUCAUCUGAGCACUUCAACCACGGAUAUCCAGGCACAUAUGAUCAGUAACAGUGCCUGAGGAGAUACAUUAAGGGAAACAGAAGGCUCCUCUUCCUCAUCUCUAACGUGUUUGGCUGCAGACACCACAAGCUGAAAUUCUGAGUGACAAGCAUCAUUUCUAAGACCACAAUUUCACUUGGAAAAGUGGAGCAGAGUUGGAGGAGGAGAUGGAGGAAGAGAGAUUAAACAACUCAGAAAACAGAUGGAGAAAUGGAAUAGAAUCACUACUGAUUACUUUACCAAGAGAAGCUGAAGACUUCAAGGCCAUCUGUGAAUGGACUGUCCAGCCUUAUGUGCCCGAAGAAUCAUAAGUACGUUUUGAGUGUUCUACAAAAGCACAUUCCUCAGGUAUUGCAGGAACUGUAUGGCAAAUGGAACGGAACAUGCUAGCUCUACAGGAAACAAAAGACUUUUCAUGUGAGAACUGCAGCAAGGAAUUUGUCAGAGACUGGGAGAGGAAGGCAAAAGAAGCUAAUAUUGAAAUGCAAAUUAUUAUAAGUGAAAGGAUUUUCUCCAUCUUCACUUAGUUUCUGCAGUUUAUAUCCUUAAAAUAAAAAGGAGUAGCUGAAAAUAUGUUACAAUAAAACCCAGUAACUUUGUCUCUUUCAUAUUCUCAGUCUUUGUUUUAUUUGGAGACUGGUACACAGAAUUUUAUCUAUAAAUCAAG
rnacentral:lncRNA from 1 species